AUAGUGCCGUCUACAUAGUAUUAUUUGUCCAGGAGGACAAUUAGUCUCAACCUUAUUUAAGGGUCACCAAACUUAGGAUAAGGGAUGAUAUGGAACUAAUGGUCCAAUCCUAGCCCUUCUUACCCCGUACAAAUGUGGUUCUAGUGUCAAUCUGUGUACGCCCUCUAUCUCACACGGUUAGUCCUUUCCCAAUUUGGGGAUGUCCCAAAUUGUUAGUCUUCUCUGGAAAGUCCAAGCAUAAAAUUUUACAAUUUUUGAAAAUGGUCCCUCAUAAGUGACUGAAUAUAUUUAAGACAAGGAAUAAAAGGGGAAUCUGAGAAACCAAAUGCCUUUUUAUUUGAAUUUGAAUUUCUUUAGUUGUAUGUGCCUUUGAAAAAUUUGAACUCCCAGAAGGUGCUAACAUUGUGGGAUGGAGGGAGUACAAUUGAGUGUUGAUCUUUGUGGGUGUUGCAUUGAUUUUUGUAAUUUUACAGAAGAAGUUGCAUUUGUUAUAACAAUUUGAAUAGAAAAUGAUUUACAUAACAAGUAUAUGGGGAUGUUUGGGAAGUUUUUUUUGCUAAAAAAACACUAAAAGACAAAAUUGGUUAAAAAUAAAAAAAAAACAAAUCCAGACAAAA